rnacentral:rRNA from 1 species
CAGUAGCCACGGUAAUACGGAGGGAGCUAGCGUUAUUCGGAAUUACUGGGCGUAAAGCGCACGUAGGCGGCUUUGUAGGUUAGAGGUGAAAGCCUGGAGCUCAACUCCAGAAUUGCCUUUAAGACUGCAUCGCUUGAAUCCAGGAGAGGUGAGUGGAAUUCCGAGUGUAGAGGUGAAAUUCGUAGAUAUUCGGAAGAACACCAGUGGCGAAGGCGGCUCACUGGACUGGUAUUGACGCUGAGGUGCGAAAGCGUGGGGAGCAAACAGGAUUAGAUACCCCAGUAGUCCCUGUCUCUUAUAU